rnacentral:rRNA from 1 species
GAUGAACGCUGGCGGCGUGCUUAACACAUGCAAGUCGAACGACAACGCCCAGCUUGCUGGGUGGAUUAUUGGCGAACGCGGGAGUAACACGUGAGUAACCUGCCCUUCACACUGGGGUAAGCGCUGGAAACGGCGCCUACUCCCGUACACCGGCCUCCCCCCCGUGGUGAGUUGCUGGAAAGAAUUGCGGUCAGGGAUGGACUCGCGGCCUAUCAGGUAGUUGGUGGGGUAACGGCUGACCGAGCCGACGACGGGUAGCCGGCCUGAGAGGGUGAACGGCCACACUGGGACUGAGACACGGCCCAGAGGCCAACGGGAGGCAGCAGUGGGGAAUCUUGCACAAUGGGCGCAAGCCUGAUGCAGCGACGCCGCGUGUGGGAAGAAGGCCUUCGGGUAGUAAAACCCUUUUAGCAGGGAAGAAGCGAGAGUGGCGGUACCUGAAGAAAAAGCACCGGCUAACUACGUG